rnacentral:rRNA from 1 species
UUGACCUCGGAUCAGGUAGGGAUACCCGCUGAACUUAAGCAUAUCAAUAAGCGGAGGAAAAGAAACCAACAGGGAUUGCCUCAGUAACGGCGAGUGAAGCGCAACCGGCUCAAAU